AGAGAGCCGCUCAACGCGAGUUACAGCCCCCUCCGCUGCUGCUCUCGAGUAGGUUGAAAAGAAGAUGGAGAAGUUUCAGCUUGCAGCUAUGGAGAGUUCACCACGAAAAGAACGAAGUCAAAGAAUACAAAGAUCUGUCCAUAUUCUGAAGUCACCACUUGAAGAUUUUAUGCAGAAUUAUUUGGAUUAUGAAUAGGAACCACAUUAUUUGCAACAGCUUUUAUUAUUUAUACAAACAAGAUGAACAUGAUAUGAUGUGCCAGAAUAUAGGGAGGCUGCCUAAAACAUACAAAAAAAUACAGAACACAUGUAAACAACUAAAGAAAAACAGAACAUGGCACAUGUAAAUAAAUCAAAUAAACACAGCACAGACUGCAUGAAA